ensembl:lncRNA
GAGAAAAUGCUUUGGAGAAAAGUCAGAGAAUGCAAAAUGGAAUGGUGGUAUAGAAUACCCAGCAAGGCUAGGUCCCAAGCUCAGAGCUCAGGAUGGAAGUCCUAGGAAGUGGUGACACUUACACGGAAAUGGCUAUGUGGGGCACAUGGGGAAUCUGGACCUUAGGCUGGAGUGGGGGGCAGGUCUCAGCUUACAUAAAGUGUGGAAUGGCAGCCCAAGAACCUGCAUUCUGAAGGGUCCCCAUAGACUGCUACCAGGGUUUCUCAGGGAAUUGCCAGGAUAGGCUUGUGGUAUAAGUGGAGAGCCCUCAUCUCUUUGUUUUUAAAUCAUAGAACAAAUCUACAUCAUUGGUGUUUGUACAUUAUACAUUUUAAAUCUCUAUCUUUCUUUAAAUAUUGGCUUUUUACUCUUUCAUAAAUUUCUUUAAUUAAUCAAAUCAUGGGCUUAUCAAAAAUUUGCAACUUUCUUUUAUCCUUUUCCAUGUGAAAACUUGACCAUUUAUUAUGCCUCCCUUUGUAAGAUUAAAUGUAUUUAAUUUUCCUUAAUCAAGUAGUUAUAUAGUCAACAUUUAUAGGUAAAACAAAACAAAAUCUCAUAAACUGGAAUAGUACUGGUCGUGGAGAAUUACUAGAUUACUUAUUGCUUAAGUCUCUUAUUCCUGUCUGGUGAGGUCAGGCUUCAGACCCUCUUAUGAGAACAUGUUGAAGCCCAUGUGCUACACUGGCUCCUCUUCCCCCUCAGCUAUGAGAGGGAUGUCCUCCUAACUGCCCUCGUGGCAGAACUUCUACCAUCCAGGCACAUAGGCUUGUCUUUUGUUUACCAUAUUUGGUUUCCUUUAUUCUAGAGAUAUGUUCAUGGUUUUAUAUUGCUGUUUGAUUUUGAUUAUGACUCACAUUUGAUUUAAUGAAGUCUUUCAAGAACUUUGAAUUUGCUACCCAUAAAAAAGAAAUUAAUUGCCCUUAAGUUAUUCUUUAUAGUAAGUCUCAUGAAUGUUAAUGCUGUUAAUUUAUAGUUUUUUAAAUUUGAAUUUAAUUUUAUUUUCAUUAGAGCAUAGUUGAUUUACACAGAAAUUGAAACAACAUUGUAAAUCAACUAUAUACUUUAAUAUAAAUAUAAAUUAAUGAAUAAAAUACUUCAUAAUUUGUACUUUAAUAAAAAUACAAAUUAAUGAAUAAAAAUAAAAUAAAAUGUAGCAGUCAGAUUUCCCACUGUGGCCCAGGAGGUAAGAAGCCAAUUGCAAUGGCUCAGGUACCUGCGAAUGUGUCUGUUUUCUUUGUUUUUUGGUUUUUUUCCUCAAUGAAUUUAUCCAUUUAUAGUUGUACAAUGAUCAUCACAGUCCAAUUUUAUAGGAUUUCCAUCCCACAACCCAGCACAUUCCCCCACUCCUGAAACUGUCUCCUUUGGAAACCAUAAGUUUUUCAAAGUCAGUGAGUCAGUAUCUGUUCUGCAAAGUUCAUUCUGUCCUUUUCUCAGAUUCUACAUGUCAGUGAAAGCAUUUGAUGUUGGUGUCUCACUGUAUGACUGACUUCACUUAGCAUGAUAAUUUCUAGGUCCAUCCAUGUUGCUAAAAAUAAUGUGCAUGUUUGACCUCUGGCCUGGUACAGUAGGUUAAGGAUCCAACAUUGCCUAGGUUGCAGUCUGUGGCUUGGAUUCAAUUCUUGGCCCAGGAAUUUCUGUGUGCCAUUGGUGCAGCCAUAAAAUGAAAAUAAAAUUAAUAAAUAACUGAAAGGUAGGAGUCAUCCUCAAACUUAAUGUCAGACAUCAUUGGUCCCAGAAAAUUAUCUGCCAUUAUCUGCUGAUUAUAAAUCUCCUUGGGCUCAGACUUUAUAUCAUAUUUCUAGGGUUUUUCUUUAUCUUUGGAUUCUUUGGUCAUAACCCUUGCUGUCUUUAUCCCUAGGAUGCUCAUUUUCCAUCUCCAAAGCAAAGCUUUCCUUGGGAUAUUCUGAACUCUGCUAUCUUUAUUUUGUAGGCUAUACCCUGAAGGUCUCACCAUUUAUAUUCAAAGAGACUAUCUAGGUAUUUUCCACAUGAAUUAUGAAUUCCAAAUGAAUUAUAAGUUCCAAAUGAAUUUCUAAGUGAAAAGAAUUAUUACCCUUUCUUAGUAUUCUGAAUAUGCUUCAGUAGGUUUUAGCAUAAAAUACUAAUUUUUUUCUUCAUACCACUCGUGGAAAAUAUUAAAUCACCCUAUGCACCUAGUAGAUUAAAUAUUGAGGAAGUCUUUUUAACCCAAGUAUAUAUCAAAUGCUGCAGCCAUAAUUUUAUAUUUAUUGCUACAUAUAUAUAAGAAAAUGCAUAACUAUAUCAGCUAUGCAUAUAACAACAUUUUGCGGACCUCAGAUUCCACCAAGAGCUAGCAAAAAGGGAAAUAUUUGUGGUAGAGGUUUUGCCCUUUAGGAUCUACUAAAAAGGCAGCCAGGUGAUGAGCAGGAAGAGAAAUCUGGCAUAUGAUGAUGUGGGAAGGAAAGUGAUGCAAUGCCCCAAUAAGAAUUUUUUUUCAGAAAAGUAGGAAAGUUCUGGUAACAAUAGAGGGAGAAGCAAUAAGAGUUUUUGACAGAAGAGGAGAAAGACAGUGGCAGGUGUGAGCAAUGACAACAUUUGUGUGGGGGUGGAGAGCAGCAGGUGUGGAGACAAAAAGAAAAACAGUGACAAGGAAGCAAAAGUCAGGGCAGCUCUCUAAGUUUCUGGGCAGGAGCAAGCCUGGGUGGAGGUAGGGAAGGCAGGAGGCCCAGAGAAGGAAGAGCAGCAAGGUCAGGUUGUCUCAAUGCUCCCUUUGUAGGGCAAGGUAUUGUCUUGUUCCAUUUGUGCAUCUGUUAAUUGAAAGAGGGUUGGAUUGAGUGGCAUAUUCCAGAUGUAGGGCCAUUCUGUGGCGUAGCUCUCUCAAUGAAGGGCUUCCAAAACAGUUUUAGCACUAUAGAGAUCAAGCACUUUAAAGGUUCAUUUGAGAUGUGUGAGUGUGUGUCUAUGUGUGUGUUUUUUUGGAAGUGGGGGCCAGUCAUUGUCAUAUGCUCUAGAAUUAUGAGCCUAGGAGAACUCAGGACAUCAGACUGUGGUGGCAGCCUCAGGCCUGCAUCCUGUAGAAUACAAGGGUAGAAUCCACACAUUUGCAGCAAGCCCAAACGUCUCUUUUGUUUUUAAUUUUCUCUUCUUUGUAAAAGCAACGAAAAAACAAUAAUAACUGUGCUCUCCUACUGUAAGCAAAAAAAAAAAAAAAAAAAAAAAAAA